rnacentral:rRNA from 1 species
GAUGAACGCUGGCGGCGUGCUUAACACAUGCAAGUCGAACGAAGCAUUUAGGACAGAUUACUUCGGUUUGAAGUUCUUUAUGACUGAGUGGCGGACGGGUGAGUAACGCGUGGGUAACCUGCCUUGUACUGGGGGAUAGCAGCUGGAAACGGCUGGUAAUACCGCAUAAGCGCACUAUGUUGCAUGACAUGGUGUGAAAAACUCCGGUGGUAUAAGAUGGACCCGCGUCUGAUUAGCUAGUUGGUGAGAUAACAGCCCACCAAGGCGACGAUCAGUAGCCGACCUGAGAGGGUGACCGGCCACAUUGGGACUGAGACACGGCCCAGACUCCUACGGGAGGCAGCAGUGGGGAAUAUUGCACAAUGGAGGAAACUCUGAUGCAGCAACGCCGCGUGAGUGAAGAAGUAAUUCGUUAUGUAAAGCUCUAUCAGCAGGGAAGAUAGUGACGGUACCUGACUAAGAAGCUCCGGCUAAAUACGUG